GUUCAGAAAUCGGGCGCCGGCUUUGCCAGGAGCGGCUCCUCUCCAAGCCUGGCGGUCACUGCCCUGUGUCCCCUUUGGGGCCUCUCCUGGUCCUCUUGGUUGGAUUAGGAGGCCUUUCAGCCCGGAGUCUGGGUCGCCGAAGUACAGGCCCCUUCACUGAAGCGACCCACGGCGCAGGGGUUUCUGGAAGCCAUCGCCAGGCUCCGAGUGUUCAGAUGCAGCUGCCAGGCUCAGGACGCAGAGAACUGGCUUCCAGCUCGCAGGAGCGCCUGUCCGUGGUGGGUAGGGUCGCAGGCGUGGGGUGUGCAGGAGCAGUGGGACAGCACUGAAACGCAGUCGGAAGAGAUACCACGGUGUGCAGGCACAGGGAAAAGGCCACGUGAGGACACAGAGAGAAGACGGCCGUCUGCAAGCCAAGGAGAGAGGCCUCAGGAGAAACCAAACCUGCAGGCACCUUGAUCUUGGACUUCCAGCCUCCAGAACCUUGAGAAAAGAAAUUUCUGUUGUUUAAGACACCCACUCUGUGGUAUUUGUUCUGGCAGCCCUAACAAACUAAUAUAGGGGUCUAAAGAUUCCUUGUCUUCAUUUUGAGUAAGACACUAUAAACUCAGUACUGUGGAGAUCUAGUUAGGUAUUGUACAGCUAGCCUCAUUCUGUCUUAAACUCCAGGGAAAAGAGAAAAAUAUGGAGACAGCCCCUGACUUUGGAGAACUUGCAGUUUUGUGGAGGUGAAAGGAGGCAGCCACAAGAAAAACCCCUGACAUCAAUUCAAAACUAUAAAUAACAAAGACUAACUUGUUCUAUGCACAACAGGUACUACAGCACUGUCCAAUAUGGGGACAUUUGAGUGGCCUGAAGCAGCACAAGAAUGGGGCAAUAAACUUGAGAUAAACCUCAAAGCAUCAAUAUUAUUCAUGACUAAACUGGGUUCUAAGAAUUGCUAUUUUUACUGUUAGUGUUCAGUAGAGGUCAUUAAAAAAAAUCUAGCAAUUUUUUUUUCUAAAAUGAAUAUGUAAUAAGAAUGAAAAACAAAAAGCACUAUAAUGUUUUUAAUUAAUGAAAUGCCUUUACGAACCAAGGUGCCAUCUUGGAGAAGCUAGGCAUUAUGAGGAGCUAUCAGGAGCACAUUUGCUAACAGCUUCGCAUGAGCAGGAUUUUCUUGACCGACUGGCAAGAUGGGGCUGCUCAGCUCCUGCUGGCAGAUUUUUAUGGAGCGUAGUUGUACAAAUCCAGCCUACAACUCUGAUACGUUCCAAUGUAUUUUAAACAUCUAUUCAGUUGCAACUCUAAUCCCAGGAACCUGUGGCUAACAGAAGGCAGAUUUAACUGACUAGCAGCUGUGGGAUUUUCAAAGUCUAAACUGAAAUGAACAUGCGAAACAGUUGGACUACCCCAAAAGCUGAAUUACGAUUCCAGCACUCACCAGCUCUGAAACCUCACUUGGUUACCUAACGCCUCUGUGCCUCAGUUCCCCAGCUAUAAAAUGGAAAAGGCAACAAUACCAACCUUAUAGAUUAUGUUUUGGAUUAAAUGAGGCAACACAUACACAGCACUUAGAAUGUGCAAGGCACAAUGGAAGCAUGCAGUGAACAUGGCUUAUGAUGAUGCUGACUGUCAUAACUCUCAUUCAUAGGGAUGCUGCCUCUUCUUGUCACCCUUGACCUAUAUAUUUUCGGGCAGUCCUCACCCAGUCCCCAUUUGUGUGUUCUAGAUAGAAAAGGCCCCAUACUAUGAAAUGACCACUGUCCUUCUGCAUGAAGCCUGGUGAACCUGAUAAUGUAACCUUCAAGUUCCCUUACUGAGCCUUGAGCUCCCUUCAAAGUAUCCAAGCCAACCCUGUCUUGGGAAACUCACCUAGAUAAUGCCCUGAACCUCAAUAAAGGCUCCAGCCCACAGGUCCCUCCCUCUCUCUCGGUCCCCACUCUUUGGCUGGGCAUGUGUGUCCUCAAUGUCUCCAAGCCCUUCCAGUAAGCCCUGCAAGGUGUGCUGGCCACCGUUCUCUGGAAUCUGUGAGUAAUAAACAAUCUUUUUGCCAUUCUGCUCU
rnacentral:antisense_RNA from 1 species